rnacentral:lncRNA from 1 species
UUCAUGGGGUUGCAAAGAGUCGGACACGACUGAGCGACUGAACUGAAUGAAUGAUUAUUUAUAUUCAAAGAGAUCUCUACAGGCACUGCCAUAGCAUGCAGCAGGUCGCUCACUGAGGAAGGAACAGUCUGCACACAGCUCCAGUGAAGAAAACUGAAAAGCGUGCCCUUUUGCUGAUGCUUCCAGUUCAGCACAGCAAGGUUGCUUCUGGUAUUCUACCUUUCCCUGUAUAUAACCACUCUCUCCUACAGUGAGAAAUACAGGUUUCAUUAUUCAAUUCGUUUCAGCAUAAUUGCUGACUCUCCCAGUUUAUUUUCUCAUUGUAUCACUCGCCAAU